GACAGGAUGGCCGAGUGGUCUAAGGCGCUGCAUUUAAGUUUUCAGCAAUUCUGCAGUGGGGAAACCCGCGCGAGUUCGAACCUCGCUCCUGUCA